UAAGCUGCCAAGAUUAAGCCAUGCAUGUCUAAGUAUAAGCACUUUAUACUGUGAAACUGCGAAUGGCUCAUUAAAUCAGUUAUCGUUUAUUUGAUAGUACCUUACUACAUGGAUACCUGUGGUAAUUCUAGAGCUAAUACAUGCUAAAAACCCCGACUUCAGGAAGGGGUGUAUUUAUUAGAUAAAAAACCAACGCCCUUCGGGGCUCCUUGGUGAAUCAUAAUAACUUAACGAAUCGCAUGGCCUUGCGCCGGCGAUGGUUCAUUCAAAUUUCUGCCCUAUCAACUUUCGAUGGUAGGAUAGUGGCCUACCAUGGUGGCAACGGGUAACGGGGAAUUAGGGUUCGAUUCCGGAGAGGGAGCCUGAGAAACGGCUACCACAUCCAAGGAAGGCAGCAGGCGCGCAAAUUACCCAAUCCCGAUACGGGGAGGUAGUGACAAUAAAUACUGAUACGGGGCUCUUUCGGGUCUCGUAAUUGGAAUGAGAACAAUUUAAAUCCCUUAACGAGGAACAAUUGGAGGGCAAGUCUGGUGCCAGCAGCCGCGGUAAUUCCAGCUCCAAUAGCGUAUAUUAAAGUUGUUGCAGUUAAAAAGCUCGUAGUUGAACCUUGGGUCUGGCUGGCCGGUCCGCCUCACCGCGAGUACUGGUCCGGCUGGACCUUUCCUUCUGGGGAACCCCAUGGCCUUCACUGGCUGUGGGGGGAACCAGGACUUUUACUGUGAAAAAAUUAGAGUGUUCAAAGCAGGCCUUUGCUCGAAUACAUUAGCAUGGAAUAAUAGAAUAGGACGUGCGGUUCUAUUUUGUUGGUUUCUAGGACCGCCGUAAUGAUUAAUAGGGAUAGUCGGGGGCGUCAGUAUUCAGCUGUCAGAGGUGAAAUUCUUGGAUUUGCUGAAGACUAACUACUGCGAAAGCAUUCGCCAAGGAUGUUUUCAUUAAUCAGGGAACGAAAGUUAGGGGAUCGAAGACGAUCAGAUACCGUCGUAGUCUUAACCAUAAACUAUGCCGACUAGGGAUCGGACGGGAUUCUAUGAUGACCCGUUCGGCACCUUACGAGAAAUCAAAGUUUUUGGGUUCUGGGGGGAGUAUGGUCGCAAG
rnacentral:rRNA from 1 species